UACGUAGGGUGCGAGCGUUAAUCGGAAUUACUGGGCGUAAAGCGUGCGCAGGCGGUUUGCUAAGACCGAUGUGAAAUCCCCGGGCUUAACCUGGGAACUGCAUUGUGACUGGCAGGCUAGAGUAUGGCAGAGGGGGGUAGAAUUCCACGUGUAGCAGUGAAAUGCGUAGAGAUGUGGAGGAAUACCGAUGGCGAAGGCAGCCCCCUGGGCCAAUACUGACGCUCAUGCACGAAAGCGUGGGGAGCAAACAGG
rnacentral:rRNA from 1 species